rnacentral:rRNA from 1 species
AGUGAACGCUGGCGGCAGGCCUAAUACAUGCAAGUCGAACGGCAGCACAGCAGAGCUUGCUCUGUGGGUGGCGAGUGGCGGACGGGUGAGGAAUACAUGGGAAUCUGCCCAGUCGUGGGGGAUAACGUAUGGAAACGUACGCUAAUACCGCAUGCGCCCUAAGGGGGAAAGCCGGGGACCGCAAGGCCUGGCGCGAUUGGAUGAGCCCAUGUUCGAUUAGCUAGUUGGCGGGGUAAAGGCCCACCAAGGCGACGAUCGAUAGCUGGUCUGAGAGGAUGAUCAGCCACACUGGAACUGAGACACGGUCCAGACUCCUACGGGAGGCAGCAGUAGGGAAUAUUGGACAAUGGGGGCAACCCUGAUCCAGCCAUGCCGCGUGAGUGAAGAAGGCCCUCGGGUUGUAAAGCUCUUUUGUCCGGAAAGAAAGCAUCUGGUUAAUACCCGGGUGUUCUGACGGUACCGGAAGAAUAAGCACCGGCUAA